rnacentral:lncRNA from 1 species
AUCUACGAUUGUGUUCGGAUCGGGCGGUUUUGCUCUGAAGAUGGUUCCGUUGCGGGCUUUCCAUAUAAACCAGAGGACCAUCGCCACUAGUUCCUUCUCGGGUGAGUGGUGGUUGCCUUCGAAGCUUUCCUUCAACCAUUUAUCAAACCUGGAUAUGUGCGUGGGUUUACACAUGAGAUUAAUCCGUGGGUCUGUCCAUAUUUUCUUUGUCCACUUGCAGAGGAGGAACAGGUGCUCGGUGGUUUCCGGGUGUGCGUUGCAGAGCGAGCAGAUUGGAUCAGGUACCACCUGUCUUUUAUAGAGGUUUUCUCUAGUUGGUAUUGCAUUUUGACAUAUGCUCCAUGCAAAUAUGCGCAUCUUCGGGGGGAUGGAUAACUUCCAUAGCUGUGUCCAUAGUGUUCGAGGGGGCCGGGAUGAACUUGAUGCUCUGUUUUGUUCUGUUUUUGACGUUUACGCACACGCCUUGUUGUAUCCGCUCUUUACUGUGUACACUCCAGACCUGUUCCCUUUCCAUACUAACUUGUCUUCCUGCUGAUUUGGGCUUAGAGGGAUGGAUAGGAUUUCAUUUGCCACUCGGUCUUCAAACAAGUUUUGGACUUCUGUUUCUUUCCAUGCUCUGCUUUCUUCGCUGAUAAGUUCUGCCACCAUUUUAGGUUCAUUUUUGUUUGCCGGCCCUCCUAUCACUCCAUAUGCUAGCCAUUUAUCCUCUCGAAUUCUGAUUUGCUUGCCGUUUCCUACCCUCCAUUCCACCUCCUUUUCAAUCGCUUCCCUCCCCACGAGAAUGCUUUGCCAACCCCAUGAGGGGCGCUGCCCUUUCCCUGCUUUCCAUAUAUCUCCGUUAGGGAAGUAGACUCCUUUUAGUAUUCUGCUCCAUAAGGCUGAUGGGGAUUGAGAUAACCUCCAGGCUUGUUUGCCCAGCAUUGCCUUGUUAAAAAUUGUCAAAUCCCUGAAUCCGAGCCCUCCUUCAUCUUUCCUCAUUUUCAAGACUUCCCAUUUCUUCCAGUGCAAACCAUUUCUUUUGUCAUUUUGUUUCCACCAAAAAGAUGCAAUUCUUCGUUCUAUUGCUUUGCAUAUUGAGAUGGGUAUUUUAAAGAUCGACAUUGCGUAUUGAGGCAGGGCUUGCACAACACUUUUUAUCAGCGUUUCUUUUCCUGCUUUGGACAGAACUUUCUCUUUCCAGCCUUCCAACUUCAUGUUUACUCGAGCUAGGAUCCAAGCAAACAUUUCUUUUUUUGAUUUUCCCCAGUCCGUCGGGACUCCGAGAUACUUUCCUGUUUUGUCGAUGAUCGGUACUCGGAGUUCUUGCGCGAGGUUUCUUUUUAGAGUUGGAGGACAGCCCCUGCUAAAGCAAACCCCUGAUUUGUUGAGGUUGAUUGCUUGACCCGUGGCAAAACAGUACUGGUUUAGGACAGCAGCUAAGUUGUGGCAUUCUGUGAUAGUCCCAUUAAGGAAGAAGAUAGCGUCAUCGGCAAAAAGAAGGUGUGAUAGGGUAGGGCAGUGUCUAUUCAGGGUUAUUCCUGUGAGGCUUCCAUCUUCCAUAGCCUUAUGCAUUAACCACGAUAAGACAUUCGAUACCAGGAUAAAAAGAUAAGGUGAGAGAGGGUCGCCUUGCCUUAGUCCCCUUGAUGGUCUGAAAAAUUGCAUUGGCUCCCCGUUAACCUUCACACUAAGAGUGGUUGUUGAGACGCAUUGCAUGAUCAGCCCAACCCAUCUUGUAUUAAAGCCCAUUUUCAGCAAGCAUGCCUCCAGAAAAUUCCACUCUACCCUAUCAUAUGCUUUUUGCAUAUCAAGUUUCAGAAUUGCUUGGAACUUCUUUUUUCUCUUCUUGAUCUGGAGUUGGUGUAUAACUUCCUGCACUAUUAAUAUAUUGUCUUGGAUUUGCCUACCUUGUACAAAUGCACUCUGCUUGGGUGUGAUAAUUUCUCGGAGCCAUCUCUUCAAUCUGUUUGCCAUCACUUUUGCAAUAAUUUUGUAGCUGAAAUUGCAUAGGCUUAUAGGUCUGAAUUGGGAUAUGCUUUCUGGAUUUUUGACCUUCGGUAUUAGGGAGAUAUGUGUUUGAUUGAGGGUGGGAUCGAUGAUGCCUGUCUCAAAGAAAGUUUGGACUAGCUGAACAACUCCAUGCUUUACUUCCUCCCAAAAGUGCUGAUAAAAUUGCCCGUUUAGACCAUCUGGACCCGGUGCUUUAGUUGAUCCUAAUUGGAAAACCGCUUCUUCGACUUCAUCCAUACUCACGUUUUCCAGGAGAUGAGCAUUAAUUGUCUCAUUUACUGGGCUAGGGCACUGAUUUAGGACUGGCUGGAUAUUCCUCGGACCCACCGUUUCAUAUAGUGUUUGAUAAAAGCCCUGAAUAUGUUGCUUAAUUACGCUCGGCUCCCUGCACCAAGUUUCUUCAUUUAUUUUCAGCAUUACAAUUCUGUUUCGCUGCCUUCUUUGUACCGUUGUGGCGUGGAAGUACUUUGAAUUUUGAUCUCCCCACUUGAGCCAAUUUAUGCAUGCCCUAAGCCCCCAAUAUUUUUCUUCCUGUCUCCAUAGCUUUUCUAGUUGGCCCUUCACUUCCUGAGAUUCCUCCUUACUACAUCUUUCUGGAGGUCUGUUUGUUAACUCUGUUAAAGUCUGCUUUAGUUCCCUUAUCCGACGGGCAGCAUUAGGAAACUUAUCUCGACUCCAUGCAGCAAGUUCCUUUGACACUUCUUGAACUCUGUCUAAAAAACUGUUUUCUGUUGAGGAGUUUUCAGUCCAUGUUCGUUUGAUUAUCUCCCUGCAUUCUGUUUCUUCCAGCCAAAAAGCUUCAAAUCUGAAUUGUUUUUUCCUUUUCUUGCUUUCAGGGUGGAGCGUAAGAAGAAGGGGGCUAUGGUCUGAGCCAACAGCUGGUAAAGCUUGUACUUCCGCAUUUGGGAAGGUCACCCUCCAUUCCAUGGUACAUACUACUCGAUCUAAUCUUUUUUUUACCAAGUCCCCUCCUGCUCUGUUGUUUGCCCAAGUGUAGGCACACCCUUUACUAUCAACAUCCAUUAGGGAACAGUCAUUCAAAACCUCACGAAAUGCUGUUAUUCUAUAGUUGUCGGCCUCCUUCUUUCCCACCUUCUCCCAAGCGUAUAAUAUUUCAUUAAAAUCCCCCAUACAUAUCCAUGGAAGUAGAUUCUGUGACCGUAUCUCUCUUAAUUUCUGCCAUAAAAGUAGUUUCUCCCUAUAAUUGGUUGGUGCAUAGAUAAAGGUAAUUCGCAUGUGGUUACCGCAUAUCGGAUCCUGGCAUUCCACGUCGAUGAAGGUGUUGGUGCUGUUAAUUACUCUUACGACCACCUCUGCGCUCCACAUAAGUGCUAGUCCUCCUGCAAUUCCUUCCGGGUUCUCUAGGAAUUUAUUUGGGAAUUUUAGACGUUUGAUAACGCCCUCAACCUUCGACUCAUUGUUUUUGGUCUCCAUUAAGAAGACUAUGGUAGGCCUUUCGAGAGCAACUAAAGCUCUCAGCUCUUGGAACGUCAGGGGGUUGCCUAGCCCCUGACAGUUCCAGCUGAUGAUUUUCAUGACGUCUUCGGUGGCUUAUUAGGGCUAGCCACCAAAGCCCAAUCGUUACCCUCCUUAACUAUCUGAACAGGGGUGUCCAGAAGCUCUGUUUCAUCCACAAGCAGGAUGGUGUUCUAUGCUUCUUUUUUCUGUUUUUUUGCUUUCUGAGUCUUCAAGCCUUGCCUACUAUUUCUUACCUCCCCUUGAAAGUUCUCUUUAGGGAGAUCAAUGCACAUGAUCUGCUUCCCUUUGUUUUUCUUACUGAGGUCUGUUGCCAAGCCUUCGUUUUUGUUGUUAUCCGGAUAACAAUCUGCCCUUUUCUUUCCUCGUGCUAUAGAAGCUCGCUUCUGCUCUUCUUUUCUCACCUCUUCUCCCGUAUCAUUUUCUGCUACAGGCGUUUUAGGAAUUAUCUCUUCCGGGUCUGAAUUUGUUUCAAGCUGGCCAUAAAAAGCUUUCCAAUGGGGGCUGUGGUCACGAACUUCCGCCUUUAACCAAGGUCCGUACUUCCCUAUCUUGUUUUCUGCCCAUUUUGUCUGCUCAUAGGGAAUCUCCUCACAGUCAAUGGCGUAAUGCCCAAUUCUCCCGCAUGUGUAACAGUAAUGUGGCAGCCGUUCGUACUUAAACUCCACCCAUAGCUUUUUCUUCCCUAUAUCCAAUAUUGCUCCCGAUUUCAGAGGUGAAUUCAAAUCUAUUUCUACUCUCACCUUUCCUGCCUUUUGUGGGCCACUUCCACUAUUCUCCAUCUUUAUCUCGACAACUCGACCCACUCUUGCAGCCAAUCCAGCCACCACUUCCUCUCUAAACCAUCCUGGUGGGAUCCCUCCCAUUUGAAUCCAGAAGGCACAACGAGUAUAGUCAUAACAGUGUUCUGGUACUUCUGGGUCACAUUGUCUUAGUACUAAUAGAUUGCCUCCAAAGGACCAUGGGCUUGUUUUCUUAACUCUCUCCUUUUCUUCUUCAGAUUGAAACACGAAGGAAAAUAAUCCUGGCUCUUUUUGCAGGCAAACAACAGAUUCAGAUUUCCAUGCCUUUUUCAUUACGGUAGUAAAAGCUUGGAAGUUUACAUGUGGCUUGGAGAACAACUUCCCAAAUAGGGUUAGAUUACAUUCUUGAAUUUUAGUUGGAGGUAUUUCAUUUGAAACUUCGACCACAUCACUUUCAGCCCAGAGGUGUCCUAAACUCUUACAUAAUGCUGAUAGUCUUAGGUCAUUUUCGUUCUCACCUUCCAUUGCUCCGAUUUUCAGGAUGUCGCCGAUUCUCUUUGCCUGCGCUGAGAUGAGAUUGGGUCGCUGUCCUUUACUAGAUUGAAUAAGCUGAAGCCUGGGUCAUUGCACUUUGCUUCCUAUUUGGCGAGUUGUGCUGAUUCCGUGUAUGUUUUGGGGUAAAUGGGUGGAGAUUUGGGGUUAGAUUGAAGGGGGCUCUGUGAGUGUGUAGU